AUACGUAGGGGGCGAGCGUUGUCCGGAAUUAUUGGGCGUAAAGGGUUCGCAGGCGGUCUGAUAAGUCAGAUGUGAAAGGCAAUGGCUCAACCAUUGUAAGCAUUUGAAACUGCCAGACUUGAGUUAAGGAGAGGAAAGUGGAAUUCCUAGUGUAGCGGUGAAAUGCGUAGAUAUUAGGAGGAAUACCAGUGGCGAAGGCGACUUUCUGGACUUAUACAGACGCUGAGGAACGAAAGCGUGGGGAGCAAACAGGAUUAGAUACCCUGGUAGUCCACGCCGUAAACGAUGAGUGCUAGGUGUUGGGGGUCAAACCUCGGUGCCGCAGCUAACGCAUUAAGCACUCCGCCUGGGGAGUACGUACGCAAGUAUGAAACUCAAAGGAAUUGACGGGG
rnacentral:rRNA from 1 species